rnacentral:rRNA from 1 species
GACCUCAAAUCAGGUAGGACUACCCGCUGAACUUAAGCAUAUCAAUAAGCGGAGGAAAAGAAACUAACAAGGAUUCCCCUAGUAACUGCGAGUGAAGCGGGAAAAGCUCAAAUUUAAAAUCUGGCGGUCUUUGGCCGUCCGAGUUGUAAUCUAGAGAAGUGUUAUCCGCGCUGGACCGUGUACAAGUCUCCUGGAAUGGAGCGUCAUAGAGGGUGAGAAUCCCGUCUUUGACACGGACUGCCAGGGCUUUGUGAUGCGCUCUCAAAGAGUCGAGUUGUUUGGGAAUGCAGCUCAAAAUGGGUGGUAAAUUCCAUCUAAAGCUAAAUAUUGGCGAGAGACCGAUAGCGAACAAGUACCGUGAGGGAAAGAUGAAAAGAACUUUGGAAAGAGAGUUAAACAGUACGUGAAAUUGCUGAAAGGGAAACGCUUGAAGUCAGUCGCGUUGGCCGGGGAUCAACCUUGCUUUUGCUGGGUGUAGUUUCCGGUCGACGGGUCAGCAUCAAUUUUGACCGUUGGAUAAAGUCUUUGGGAAUGUGGCUUCCUCGGAAGUGUUAUAGCCCUUGGUCGCAUACAACGGUUGGGAUUGAGGAACUCAGCACGCCGAAAGGCCGGGUACUUGUACCACGUUCGUGCUUAGGAUGCUGGCAUAAUGGCUUUAAUCGACCCGUCUUGAAACACGGACCAAGGAGUCUAACAUGCCUGCGAGUGUUUGGGUGGAAAACCCGAGCGCGUAAUGAAAGUGAAAGUUGAGAUCCCUGUCGCGGGGAGCAUCGACGCCCGGACCAGACCUUUUGUGACGGAUCCGCGGUAGAGCAUGUAUGUUGGGACCCGAAAGAUGGUGAACUAUGCCUGAAUAGGGUGAAGCCAGAGGAAACUCUGGUGGAGGCUCGUAGCGAUUCUGACGUGCAAAUCGAUCGUCAAAUUUGGGUAUAGGGGCGAAAGACUAAUCGAACCAUCUAGUAGCUGGUUCCU